GCCAAUCUCAGUUCGGAUUGUAGGCUGCAACUCGCCUACAUGAAGUUGGAAUCGCUAGUAAUCGCGAAUCAGAAUGUCGCGGUGAAUACGUUCCCGGGUCUUGUACACACCGCCCGUCACACCAGAGAGUUUACAACACCCGAAGUCAGUGGCCUAACCGCAAGGAGGGAGCUGCCUAAGGUGGGGUAGAUGAUUGGGGUGAAGUCGUAACAAGGUACC
rnacentral:rRNA from 1 species